rnacentral:rRNA from 1 species
UACGAAGGGGGCUAGCGUUGUUCGGAAUUACUGGGCGUAAAGCGCACGUAGGCGGAAUGUUAAGUCAGGGGUGAAAUCCCGGGGCUCAACCCCGGAACUGCCUUUGAUACUGGUAUUCUCGAGUCCGGAAGAGGUGAGUGGAAUUCCGAGUGUAGAGGUGAAAUUCGUAGAUAUUCGGAGGAACACCAGUGGCGAAGGCGGCUCACUGGUCCGGUACUGACGCUGAGGUGCGAAAGCGUGGGGAGCAAACAGGG